AACGAACGCUGGCGGCAUGCCUAACACAUGCAAGUCGAACGAAGCCUUCGGGCUUAGUGGCGCACGGGUGCGUAACGAGUGGGAAUCUGCCCUUGGGUUAGGAAUUACAGUUAGAAAUGACUGCUAAUACCGGAUGAUGUCUUCGGACCAAAGAUUUAUGGCCGAAGGAUGAGCCCGCGUAGGAUUAGGUAGUUGGUGGGGUAAUGGCCCACCAAGCCGACGAUCCUUAGCUGGUCUGAGAGGAUGAUCAGCCACACUGGGACUGAGACACGGCCCAGACUCCUACGGGAGGCAGCAGUGGGGAAUAUUGGACAAUGGGCGAAAGCCUGAUCCAGCAAUGCCGCGUGAGUGAUGAAGGCCUUAGGGUUGUAAAGCUCUUUUACCAGGGAUAAUAAUGACAGUACCUGGAGAAUAAGCUCCGGCUAACUCCGUGCCAGCCGCCGCUGUAA
rnacentral:rRNA from 1 species